CAUGGUCUAAAUUAUGGACCCCAAUUAAAUAGACAUUAAAGAAGUUAAAAAUGUGAAUAAAAAAGUCAAUAUAUUUAGGCAAUUAAUAAAUCAUAAUAAUUAGUGGUAAUGUAGUAAAUAAAAAAACCAAAUUAAUUAUCGUACUAAUUUUACUUAUGUUAUAUUUUGUAUUAAAUUUGCCACAACUUUUAAUACAAGAUAAAUUUGACAAACUUGGUAGAUAUUAUUGUAGGAAUAAUUUUUUUUUUUAAUUGUGGUAAAAUAUAGUAUUGUUCUACCAUUUUGUGUUCCAUUAGAGAUGCUAUUAGUGGAGAUAUAUAGUAACAGGAAAAAGUCAAAAAGUUUGACUCGGAUUGUUCGGGGUACUUAUAUUUUAGAGUGACAAGCACUAAUGCCAAAUCAACAACCACACAUUCCCACUAUGAUAUGUAUAGUACCUAGGAAUUUGGACUUAGAUUAGCGGUCAAGGAUUAACGGUCAAAGACAUUGAAUGCUGAAAAGCAAUGUUCCACUACUAGUACUAUAAAGUGUUACACAUCAAUGAUCAAAUUAUAUUAUAUAUGAAUCUCUUAUUUAAAUGCCAUUUCGUCCAAAAAGAUUCAUAUUCGCGUGCUUAACUUAGAGCAUUAAGGAAAUUAAAUAUAAUAAAAUGGCAAUAGCUAGACCAUGUAUUUAUGAUAUGAUGUGGUGUUAGCAUAGUACUCUUCUACGUUUUAAAUUAUCAAUCAAUUGCUUCUUCAAGGCGAACAGACUCUGGCCUUCACUGCAACCAUGGCUGAUGCUUUCACCUCCGCACUUGUCAAUCAGUUUGUUUCGGGUGCCCUUCUAAAGAUUGAUGAAAAUUUGGAAUUGGUCCAGAAUGUAAAGAAAGAUGUCAAAAGGCUCAAAAAGAGUCUGAAAUACAUCCAAGAUUUGUUGGUAGAUGCUGGGACAAGACAACUCGACUCUCAAUGGUUGAAACAGUGGCUGAGUGAUCUCGAAGACAUAUCGUCGGACAUGGACGAUGUGUUGGAUGAGUGGAACUCUGCCAUUAUCAAGUCUGAAAUUGAGAAAUAUGAUCAAGAAGCAAAGGGUGGUGGUGAAGAUCGUGAUGAGAAUAGUGAUGUUCUGGCAAAGCAGGUAUGCUUUCCAGUGCCCUCUUCUUGGUUUUGUUUUAAACAAGUUAUUCAAGUGAUUAGGCACUGUGAUUUUGCUAAAAGAAUUAGGAAAUUGAACAAGGAACUAGAUAGUAUAAAAAAUGAUGGCCAUGAUCAUGGCAUAGUUAUGGGAGCUAUUUCUCAACAACAAUAUAUUCCUAGUUCCAUUGUCAAAUCAAGAAUCACUACUAUUUCUAUGAUUGAAGAAACUGAAAUACAUGGUCGAGAUGAUGAUAAGGAAAUUUUAGUGAGUAAGUUGCUAUGUGAUAUUACUCGAAAGGGUACCAAAGGGAUUGAUAUAAUUCCUAUUGUAGGAAUGGGGGGGCUUGGUAAAACUACCCUUGCCCAGCUAGUUUAUAAUGAUGAUAGGGUUAAGGCUCACUUUGAUAAGCGAAUUUGGGUGUGUGUCUCAGAACCUUUUGAUCAAAAAAGAGUUGCUAAGGCAAUUGUUGAUGGGCUAGGAGGAAAUGCCCAAAAUUAUGAUGAGCUAGAGAGUUUGGUGCAAUGCAUUAGUAACUCUGUCAAAGGAAUGAAGUUCCUUCUUGUCUUAGAUGAUGUAUGGACUGAGGAGAAACAAAAGUGGGAACAGUUAAAGCAACCUCUUAUGCAGGGUGGUGUAGGAAGUAGGAUAAUAGUGACAACAAGGAAAGAGGAGGUCACAAGAAUGAUGAGGGCAAUUGCUAGAAUGAUUACUCUAAAAAAAUUGUCUGAUGAGCAAUGUUGGUUGAUCAUUAGACAACUAGUAUUUGUGGAGGGAGAAGAAAAUGAGGUCAACUUGUUAGAAGAAAUUGGAAGAAAAAUUGCUAGUAAGUGUAAAGGCUUACCUCUUGUUGCAAAGGUUUUAGGAGGUCUUAUGUACUAUAGAAAGAGUGAAAGCCAGUGGAAUGACAUUUUGCAAAACAAAUUGUGGGAUUCAAAAGUUGUUGAGGAAGAGAUUUUUGCUCCAUUGUUGUUAAGUUAUUAUGACUUAUCUCCUUUGGAAAAAUGUUGCUACUUAUAUUGUUCCCUAUUUCCAAAGGAUUAUAAAUUUGAAAGAGAUACAUUGAUUGACAUGUGGAUGUCCCAAGGUUAUAUUGGUGAUUCAAGAACCGGUCAAGAGUGUUUUGAGAGUCUAGUCAUGCGAUCAUUUUUUGAUGAUUAUAUUCAAGAAUUUAAUGCAUAUGGUGCUUUUGAUCCAAGACAUUAUUACCUAAUGCAUGAUAUAGUGCAUGAUUUUACCCAAUUUCUGGCCAAAAAUAAAAUUUUUGUUGUUGAAUGCGACGAUAUCAGAGAGAAAAUGAAGUCCUUGGAACACAAAGUCUCUCAUUUGAAUGUGCUAAAUGUAAAAUCAAAUUCCUCAGACAAAGUUCUCACUUUGAAGGAUAUUGAAAGGGAUAUUCAAAGAAAAUUGCGUACCCUUCUCAUUUCGACCGAUGAAAUUGAAGUUGCACUUGAUUAUGAUUUCAUUCUCUCCAACCUCAAAGGUCUUCGAGUACUGUGUCUACCAGCUCUGGGUAUUGCCAAUCUACCCCAUUCUAUUACCACUUUGAUACAUUUGAGAUAUCUCGAUCUUUCAAACAAUUCCAAUUUGAGAAAAUUGCCUGAUUCACUGUGUGAUUUAUGUAACCUACAAACUUUAAAAAUAGCAAAUUGUUAUAAUCUUCAAAGGCUACCAGAAGGAAUUGGAAAGAUAGUUAAGUUGAGAUGUCUUUAUAACUAUGGUUGUUCUGAGUUAAAAGGGUUACCAAAGGGGUUUGGAAAACUAACUAGUCUUCAAAAGCUAGAAAUGAUUCCCAUACCCAAGAGAAACAAAGAAGCAUAUUUCCCAUUUGGAGAUUUGAAGAAUUUAGGCUUCUAUGAUCAUUUUCAAGGGUUUCUUCGUAUAAAACGGUGUGUAAAUUUGGCAUAUGUGGGUGAAGCUGAAAAGAUAAGCCUCGGAAAGAUGAAAGAGCUUGAGGAGUUGAGUCUAAACUUUAGAAUAUUUGAUGGAAGCAGUGUUGAAGAGGAAGCAAAGCCACAGAAUGAAGAUAUGAUACUUGAAGCCCUAAAGCCACAUCCAAACAUAAACGUUUUAACAAUCAGUCAAUACCAUGGAGCCAAAUUCCCAAGUUGGAUGACUUCAUUGAUCAAGUUGAAAUGCCUUACUCUUGUGGGAUUCGAUAAUUGUGAAACUCUACCUCCUUUAGGGAAAUUGCCAUGUUUGGAAUCCCUUCAAUUAUCCAUAAUGACAUGUGUGAAAAAGGUUGGUGUUGAGUUUUGGGGACUAAAUCAUGAAGAAGAAAAAGGAGACUCAUUCCCGAAAUUGAAGAAUCUUUGGUUUAAUUACUUUUCGAAAUGGACAAAAUGGGAAGGGAGUGAAGCAGCAGCAGCAGCGAGAAGUUCAUCAAGUUCAAAAGUUAUGCCAUGCCUACGUUCAUUGCGAAUUACGUAUUGUCGCAAUUUGGAAGCACUUCCUGAUUUUCUACGAAUGACGCCAUUGGAGGACUUGAGAAUUGGUGACUCGGCUAUCCUAGAACAAUCUUGCCUAAAGGAUUGGCUUCACAUCCCUAAUAUUGAAAUUAAUUACAGUCUUGUACAAAAAGAAGGAACGUGGAUUCAGAAGGAAAAGGAUCAAAAUAUGCCUAAACUUGAUGAACAGUCGAGCAAUAUUGAAAUUGAAGGUGUUUCUUCACCACAAAUAUCCAGGGAAUUAUAAGGGAAGUAAUGGAGAGUCAUCAUCCUAGCAUUAUUAAUUGUACUUAACAAGACCACAUAGAAGGAAUGCUAAAGAAGUGACAUUAAUACAGGUGAUUAAAGAAAGAAAAUCGAAUCAAUAGCAUCUUUGGGAGAAGAUGGAAUGAAGUUGGAGACAUCUUGCCCCGUUUGUGAUAGUGCCUCGGAGACGACAUACCAUGCCCUUGCUACUAUAUCCCGUUUCUCCUAGUUUUCCAGCCUCUGGAUUUUUAUGAAAUGCUAGACUUGAAAUGGAAAAACAGGCACUGGUAUUUUGGAGGACCCGGCAGAGAAGAAACAAGCUAGUGCAUGAAAAUGUGAGUUGGAACGUGAAUAUGGUUGUUAAAGGAUCAUUGGACUACUUACACAGAUUUUUAAUGAAGGAAGCUAGUGUCUAAUUUCUCCAUCCAAUCCUGACUGCGCAACCCAAUAUGGUGGUCUUAAAGCCAACGUCGAUGUUGCCAUUGACAUAGAGCAUUUUAGAGUCAGAAUAGGAGUACUCGUGAUGGACUGGUUCUGUUCUUGCUUCGUUAUUGUUGAAUACUGCUUUAGGAUUGUCCAUGUGAAUUUUAUGUUUUUUAUUUAAUUGAUUUUGCUUUGAUAUUUUAUUUCAAGUCGGUCAAUAAGAAAAUGCUAG